CUUUUCCCUUGUCUUUCACUCCUUAUUGGGAUACUGCAGUUGGUGUUAUCUCUGUGCAAUGGCUUAAUUUUAUUACCUGGAAGUGGUUUUUGUGACCGCAAAGUGUUGGAAAAUGUACCGCAAGAAACAGGAUAUCCAAGAAACGUGAAAUCCAUACUAAAAUUACAUGACUUCUGGGGUUUUUACGGCUUUUAAAGUCACGGAAGGCCAAAGCGAUGGAGAAAUGGCGCAUAAUCUAAAAUUAAAUGUGAUUAUACCAAAUGUAUGAAGACUUCUGCGUAAUCUGGAUGCUGUGCAACUGAUUUGAGGCGCUUAUCAACUGAUUUUUGCAGUGGAAUAUCGUGUCUAAAGAUCCAAAGAAUAUAAUUUGACGCCUCGUGGUUUGCCAAAAUGGACGCCAUUCUGUCAAAAUUGUAUGGUAUAUUAUCUUCUGAGAAGAACGCUACUUCAGAAUUGCCUGACCAAAUGCUAACCAGCUCGCUUCAUUGGCACCAUAUUCAGGAGUUAGAAGCAACUCAGAGAUUAACAUUUCUGCAAUCCUUCAAGUGAAGGCAUUUAUCUGGCGUUUCGCCACUUUAUCUGCGCUUCGCAUAACUAGAGAUGCAUUCAAUUACUUUCCGGCUCGAAAUUACCAUAAUUGGUUCGAAGUUCUUCGGCUUCUGGAUUUCACAGGAGAAGAAAAGGGACAGGGGGGAUUAACAAUUAUGGUUGAUUUCUGAUUAUUUGAAAAUUUCACAUUGGAAAAUGCGAGAGGAAAUACGUAUCAAUAUAAUUGACUUUUUAAAGUUAAAGAUCUAACUAAGUUCCGGCUCGAAGGACCAAAAUUAUAUUAAUCAGAAGAAGAGGGAACAUGUUUAUUAACUAUUUGUAAGAUAAAAUAUAUUUAUCUUACAUUACUGUUACUUGGUGGUAACCAAACAUUUUAAUGAUCAGGAAUAAUUGGCAGAGCAAAUGAUUAGUAAUAAUGUUUGCUAUUUUGGUGAACUUAACCUAAUCUUACUGUUACUUGGUAACAAAAGUUUAAAUUGAUCAGGAAUAAUUGGCAGAGCAAAUGAUUAGUAAUAAUGUUUACUAUUUUGGUGAACUUAAUCUUAGUGUUACUUGGUAACAAAAGUUUAAAUUGAUCAGGAAUAAUUGGCAGAGCAAAUGAUUAGUAAUAAUGUUUACUAUUUUAGUAAACUUAACUUAACCUUACUGUUACUUGGUAACAAACUUUCUAAUGAUCAGGAAUAAUUGGCAGAGCAUUUUAUUAGUAAUAACGUUGAUGCAAAUUAUUUUGGUAAUCGUAACUUGAAUGUUACAAAUUUAAUCUAAUUGCCGCUACAACCAAUUCUUGUCUUGACCUUAAUUGGGUCAUUGAGAAAUUGACUUCGACUAAUCUUACAAGACUAGCAAUGUUAUUUUGUAAGUGAAAAUUGUAAAUGUGAAUUGUACACAGAAUAUAAAUCACGAAGAAUAUAA